GGGUGCAUGGUCUAGUGGUAUGAUUUUCGCUUCGCAUCAUUGUGAAAGGUCCCCGGUUCGAUCCCGGGUGCAUCCA
rnacentral:tRNA from 1 species